rnacentral:rRNA from 1 species
UACGUAGGGUGCGAGCGUUGUCCGGAUUUAUUGGGCGUAAAGAGCUCGUAGGCGGUUUGUCGCGUCGGCCGUGAAAUCUCCACGCUUAACGUGGAGCGUGCGGUCGAUACGGGCAGACUGGAGUACUGCAGGGGAGACUGGAAUUCCUGGUGUAGCGGUGGAAUGCGCAGAUAUCAGGAGGAACACCGGUGGCGAAGGCGGCAUCCUGGACCGGGAUUGACACUGAGGCGCGAAAGCCAGGGGGAGCAAAACGGGG